rnacentral:rRNA from 1 species
AUUGAACGCUGGCGGCAGGCUUAACACAUGCAAGUCGAGCGGGGGAAGGUAGCUUGCUACCGGACCUAGCGGCGGACGGGUGAGUAAUGCUUAGGAAUCUGCCUAUUAGUAGGGGACAACAUCUCGAAAGGGAUGCUAAUACCGCAUACGUCCUACGAGAGAAAGCAGGGGAUCUUCGGACCUUGCGCUAAUAGAUGAGCCUAAGUCGGAUUAGCGAGUUGGUGGGGUAAAGGCCUACCAAGGCGACGAUCUGUAGCGGGUCUGAGAGGAUGAUCCGCCACACUGGGACUGAGACACGGCCCAGACUCCUACGGGAGGCAGCAGUGGGGAAUAUUGGACAAUGGGGGGAACCCUGAUCCAGCCAUGCCGCGUGUGUGAAGAAGGCCUUAUGGUUGUAAAGCACUUUAAGCGAGGAGGAGGCUACUUUAGUUAAUACCUGGAGAUAGUGGACGUUACUCGCAGAAUAAGCACCGGCUAACUCUGUGCCAGCCGCCGCUGUAA